rnacentral:rRNA from 1 species
UACAGAGGUGGCAAGCGUUGUUCGGAAUUACUGGGCGUAAAGGGCGCGUAGCGGCCGCCUAAGUCAGACGUGAAAUCCCCAAGCUUAACUUGGGAACUGCGUCUGAUACUGGGUGGCUUGAGUUCGGGAGAGGAAUGUGGAAUUCCAGGUGUAGCGGUGAAAUGCGUAGAUAUCUGGAGGAACACCUAUUGCGAAGGCAGCUCGCUGGGACGUAACUGACGCUGAGACGCGAAAGCGUGGGGAGCAAACAGG